rnacentral:rRNA from 1 species
CCUACGGGUGGCAGCAGUGAGGAAUAUUGGUCAAUGGACGAGAGUCUGAACCAGCCAAGUAGCGUGAAGGAUGACUUCCCUAUGGGUUGUACACUUCUUUUAUAUGGGAAUAAAAUGUUCCACGUGUGGGAUUUUGUAUGUACCAUAUGAAUAAGGAUCGGCUAACUCCGUGCCAGCAGCCGCGGUAAUACGGAGGAUCCGAGCGUUAUCCGGAUUUAUUGGGUUUAAAGGGUGGUGAGGUGGAUUGUUAAAUCAGUUGUGAAAGUUUGCGGCUCAAACGUAAAAUUGCAGUUGAAACUGGCAGUCUUGAGUACAGUAGAGGUGGGCGGAAUUCGUGGUGAAGCGGUGAAAUGCUUAGAUAUCACGAAGAACUCCGAUUGCGAAGGCAGUUCACUGGACUGCAACUGACACUGAGGCUCGAAAGUGUGGGUAUCAAACAGGAUUAGAUACCCCAGUAGUC